rnacentral:lncRNA from 1 species
GUAGGAAUACCCUGUAAAGUACAGCCUUAAAAUCUGAGGCAGGAGUGUUUGCUUAGGCAGAGCUGACAGGAAAGGCACUUGGAAUAGGCUCCUAGGGGACACUCCAGAUCAGAGAAGUGCAGUCUGGACUCAGAACCUGGAGUCUUUUCCUGUGAGGAGAACCCAGGGAAGACUGGCUGAGCUGGGAGCAAAGGCAGCUUCCAGCAUGGCUGGUGCAGAAGCUAAGACCCUGCUCUGAGAUUUGGAGGGUUAGAAGGAAAGGAAUGUGGGUGAAAUAGGGAGAUUAGUAAUCCCAUAGGUUGAGCCGAGAAGAGCACUCUCUGGACAGAAAAAAAAAAAAGGCACCAUCACUAGGGAAAAGCCAAAAAAAAAAGUUCCCAGUUUUACAUCAAAGCACUGUGAAAUUGCCUCAUUGUAAGUUUAAAUUGCCUGUCUCAACUGUGUAACUACAUGGAGAACAUACCUCCAUCUGUUCCCCUGGAACAGGAAGUUGUAUCUGUAGACUGACACACAGUGCACCCUGAUGGGAAAAGAAGCCCUGGUGGAGACCAGAGGGUCAGAAAAGGAAGCAUACUAACAUCAAUGGAGAAAAUGCUGCUUCACAAAAUUUGGCUACAAGUGUUAAGCAUGCAAGCUUGUCUUUAAAUUUUCACAAGGACCUUGUGGAGUCAAUCUUAUUGUCCCUGUUUUACAGACAUGAAGAGAAAGGAGUUUGAUCAUUUGUGGCCUGUUUGACCAGUCAGCUUCACUCUGCUCUGAGCCCAGGCCCGUAUUUCUCAUUUCACCACACCCAUAAGUGCUUUCUGACUUGGAAAUGGAGAUUAAAUUUAGACCCUGCCUCAUGCAUGCUGACCACUCAGGGCUCAACUACUCCUUCUGGAACCCUGACCCGAGGAGUCACUCCAAGUCUCUGCUGUGAGGUCUUCUCACCAGUUCCAAGUUGGUGUAAGAAGA